AGUAGCGUGCCCAAGACCCGAAGCGGAGUGAUCUAGCCAUGGGCAGGUUGAAGCGGAGGUAAGACUUCGUGGAGGACCGAACCCACCAGGGUUGAAAACCUGGGGGAUGACCUGUGGUUAGGGGUGAAAGGCCAAUCAAACUCCGUGAUAGCUGGUUCUCCCCGAAAUGCAUUUAGGUGCAGCGUCGUGUGUUUCUUGCCGGAGGUAGAGCACUGGAUAGGCGAUGGGCCCUACCGGGUUACUGACCUUAGCCAAACUCCGAAUGCCGGUAAGUGAGAGCGCGGCAGUGAGACUGUGGGGGAUAAGCUCCAUGGUCGAGAGGGAAACAGCCCAGAGCAUCGACUAAGGCCCCUAAGCGUGUGCUAAGUGGGAAAGGAUGUGGAGUCGCAGAGACAACCAGGAGGUUGGCUUAGAAGCAGCCAUCCUUGAAAGAGUGCGUAAUAGCUCACUGGUCAAGUGAUUCCGCGCCGACAAUGUAGCGGGGCUCAAGCACACCGCCGAAGUCAUGUCA
rnacentral:rRNA from 1 species